rnacentral:rRNA from 1 species
UCAGACGAUGCGUCAUGCAUAUCAAUAAGCGGAGGAAAAGAAACUAACAUAGGAUUCCCUCAGUAACGGCGAGUGAAGCGGGAAGAGCUCAAAUUUGAAAUCUUCAAGGUUUUACCUUGACGAAUUGUAGUUUAAAGAAGUGUUUUCUGUUGGAGUUUUGGUAAAAGUUCUUUGGAAUAGGACAUCAUAGAGGGUGAGAAUCCCGUAUUCGACCAUUAUUUUCAGCUGUGUGAUACACUUUCAAAGAGUCGGAUUGUUUGGGAAUGCAGUCCAAAAUGGGUGGUAAAUUUCAUCUAAAGCUAAAUAUUGGCGAGAGACCGAUAGCUAACAAGUACCGUGAGGGAAAGAUGAAAAGAACUUUGAAAAGAGAGUUAAACAGUACGUGAAAUUGUCAAAAGGGAAGCGUUUGACACCAGUGUUGUUUUCUCGAAAAUCAAUUAAAAAGAGUUGGAUUUUGUGUUGUAUUGACUUUAUCAGCUUUCUGCACUUUUUUCUUGUCUUUUUUAAUGCACUUUUCGUUUAACAAGUCAACAUCAAUUUCUUUUGCUGUAAAAGGGUCAUAGGAAGGUGGCUUCAUUUCGGUAGAAAGUGUUUAUAGCCUUUGGCCUCUGCAAUCGGAGAGAUUGAGGUCUGCAGCGUAGAUCCUUCGGGGUUAGAUACAUUCGUGCUAAGUUAUAGCCUUUUCAUAGACAACUUGUUGACUAUGAUUCGUCUUGUAAUUUACUCGCUAGUGCUAUUUUACCUACGCUUAGGAUGUUGAUAUGCAUGACUGAUAU